AUAAAAGAAGGUGGCGUACACGGGAGGAGAAGAAACUUCGAUACCAAGUAACGGUGUAAAGAAACGCUCUGGUGGUUGGUUAAGUUAUUCGUUACAUGCGUAUAUACCAUACUGGUUGCCCAUCGCACGGUCAGCCAGACGGAUAAUCGUGGUACAGGUCAUGGUUAUUUCUUCGAGCGCCGUCAAAGGGUAAAACGUUCAAGCACGAAGGAAGGAAACGUUAGAAGUCGAUCACUCACCGUGCAAAAUCCAGCGAUCAGGACGGUCCACAUCUUUCUUAUCGUUGCACUUAAUUGCAAGGGGGAUAACACGCGAGAACACAGUUGCAAGGCUGCAAGGGAUCACACGAAGAGGGAUGCAAUUUUCACGAAGAUUUCCGGUGAACUGAGGCGCGUGUACCACGCAAGAAUUCUCCCUCCGUGGUUGAUGUUCCUCCAACGGGUAUAAGUCUCCUGGAGGGGAGAAACGGAAAUCAGGGAACCAGAGAACCACCGGCCCAUCCAGAGUACUGUUAAUGCAUGCUUGCUGCCUCCGCUAACAACCAUCCUUACCGCGUCCUCUUCGCGACCAGUGACGGCCUCGAACGGACACUGUUCUAUUAUUUUCCAUUUUUCAAGAUAAGUUGAACACCUACUUUUUCUUUUUACCAGAAAUAGGUAUUAAUACUUUAUUUCUGAGAAAUUAAUUUUGAAGAAAGUCCAAUUUUCAAGAGAUUAAUUAAUUAUUAGCCUAAAGUUAAUUGUAUAAGUUUUAAACGAAAGCGUUUCAUAUGUUAGAAAAAUCAUUUUUAAAGAUCAGAAAAUUAAAGUAAUAUGAAAUAUAGAAUUACAUUAAAAUUUGAACUCUCUUCAUGGUUCGCUGCCCGAGGGUUAAGUACUGUUAAAGGGUUGGAUUUGACCAUUGGUGCGAUAAGGUGAUCAAGGAGUGUUGAUCAUCCUGGCCGAGGAAAGCAGACUGAGUUAUGGAUGCAACAAUGGAGACGGCGGGGAGUCUUCUGCAAGAUUUUCCCACGUUAAACGAAAAAAUCUGCAGACACUGAUUUCAGUAAAGGUAGCUGGCUGCGGCACCGUUGUCAACCAUUCGACCUAGAGCGAGAUGAAAACUCCACAGUCUCAUAGCGACCGCCGAGGAGUGCGGAUCUACCUGUUAAACAUACAUACACCCUUAUUUUAUUUUCUGCGUUUAUAUAAUUUGCUGUAUUCAUCUUCUUCUUUUAUUGAAUAAACUUAUUGAGGAGAUGAA